rfam:Brassica rapa chromosome A9, whole genome shotgun sequence.
AGAAUAUAAGAAACCGUCUUUUAACUUUUGACUAAAAAAGUUAAAAAUCAGUUCUUAAAAGAUAUUUAAGAGCCGGUUCUUAACUUUUUUUAGUCAAAAGUUAAAAGACAGUUUCUUAUAUUCU